GUUCUGGAGGCUGCGUGGGAGCCUGGCUGGAAGAAGGAACCGGCUCUGCCAGCCCCGGCGCCUGUGCUGGAGCCCGGCGAGCAAGGUCAGCCGGUGGCCGGCCACGUCCAUGGCCACGUCCCUGAUCAGGAAGGGGUUGCAGGCCCCCGGCUGGAGCAGGAGGGUGAGCACGGUCUGGAUUCCCAGUGGCUGACAGAUUGGUUUCUGCCUUUCUGUGGGGAGAGCACAGAGGCAAGAGAGAGGCCUUGGGGGAACGGAGACCCUUCGCUGAGGCCCUGAGGGGUGGACCCCCGGCCCCCGCCGAGGUGAGGAAGACUAUGCGAGAUGGAGGGCAGCUGCCGAGGCGUGCUGGCUGCGCUGGUCGUUCUGGCUGGGCUGGCAGGUAGGGACCUCGGGGCUUGGUGGAAAGUUCCUGGGCAUCCCAGCUGCAGUGGGUGAAGGGACUCGGAGGAGGCCACCAGGGUGUGUGGCUGACAGAAGAUGCUGAGCCCUCUUCCCACCCCCGACCCUGCCUCCUUGUGGGCUCCACUCCGGAAGGGUCCUGCAGGAGCUCCUGACCCCACCUGUCCUCCUCCAUCCCGGUCCUUGAUCCUGGAGGCUGCUUUGGCACCUUUCUCUUCCGUUUCUAUCUGGUCUUCAGGGAAGACGUGACGCCGGCGUCACCUCCUCCCUGAAGCCUUCCUGAGCUUGCAGUUUUCCGGGUGAUAUCCCAGUUCCCAUUACUGACAGAGCGAGGGACCUGUUGCCUGUGAGACCUCCCAGUUGUCCCCACAGCUCCUCUUCGUCCCGGAAGGUUCCCAGAGUCUCGGUGGAAAUGGACUCCAGGUGUCCCAGGCCAGGGUCUCGGAUCAGAGUUGCAGGAGACGGGGAGAUGGAGCAUGCCAACCCCGGGGGUCAUCGGGUAACGAGAGCUUAUACCCCAGCUUUCUUUCGACUAUAUCUUGUCUUGAUUUCAUUGCUUCAUGGAUGUGUUUUCCUAGGAGGUUUUAAAUGCCUGAAGGUGGCCUUACCCCAGGGGUUUUAAUGCAUUGUAUUGACGCAUAACACCCGCGCAGAAAAUACACACGUUAUAAAAGGACAGGUUGAUGAAGUUUUACACGGAGCACCUUUGUGUGUCACCAGGGAGCCCAAGGGCACUUCACAGGUGCUUCAUUCAGCUCCCCCCCGCCCCUGCCCAAAGUGACCAUUGUUCUGACUUCUUGCUGCAUUGCUAGGUGCUGCUUGCUUUGCACUUUAUACAGCUAUGCACUCUACUUCUGAUGGAAAGAUAAUUAAAAAAAAAGAAACAACUCUGUUGGGAAGGAGUUGCCAUCGUGGCUUGGCAAAAAUGAAUCUGACCAGUAUCCAUGAAGACACAGGUUCGAUCCCUGGCCUCAUUCAGUGGGUUAAGGAUCUGGCAUUACCGUGAGCUGUGGUGUAGGUCACAGACCUGUGCUGCUGUGGCUGUGAUGUAGGCUGGCAGCUACAGCUCUGAUUUGACCUCUAGCCUGGGAACCUCCACAUGUCAUGGAUGCAGCU
rnacentral:lncRNA from 1 species